rnacentral:rRNA from 1 species
CAGUCGCCACGGUAAUACGAAGGGUGCAAGCGUUACUCGGAAUUACUGGGCGUAAAGCGUGUGUAGGUGGUUGUUUAAGUCUGUCGUGAAAGCCCUGGGCUCAACCUGGGAAUUGCGAUGGAUACUGGGCGACUAGAGUGCGGUAGAGGAUAGUGGAAUUUCCGGUGUAGCAGUGAAAUGCGUAGAGAUCGGAAGGAACAUCUGUGGCGAAGGCGACUAUCUGGGCCAACACUGACACUGAGACACGAAAGCGUGGGGAGCAAACUGGAUUAGAUACCCGCGUAGUCCCUGUCUCUUAUAC